CAGCAGCAGCCGCGGUAAUACAGAGGGUGCGAGCGUUAAUCGGAUUUACUGGGCGUAAAGCGUGCGUAGGCGGCUUUUUAAGUCGGAUGUGAAAUCCCUGAGCUUAACUUAGGAAUUGCAUUCGAUACUGGGAAGCUAGAGUAUGGGAGAGGAUGGUAGAAUUCCAGGUGUAGCGGUGAAAUGCGUAGAGAUCUGGAGGAAUACCGAUGGCGAAGGCAGCCAUCUGGCCUAAUACUGACGCUGAGGUACGAAAGCAUGGGGAGCAAACAGGAUUAGAGACCCCCGUAGUCCCUGUCUCUUAUAA
rnacentral:rRNA from 1 species